rnacentral:rRNA from 1 species
UACGGGGGGAGCAGUCGUUGUCGGAAUUACUGGGCGUAAAGGGCUCGUAGGCGGCCAACUAAGUCAGACGUGAAAUCCCUCGGCUUAACCGGGGAACUGCGUCUGAUACUGGAUGGCUUGAAUCCGGGAGAGGGAUGCGGAAUUCCAGGUGUAGCGGUGAAAUUCGUAGAUAUCAGGAGGAACACCAGUGGCGAAGGCGGGUCUCUGGGCCGAUACUGACGCUGAGGAGCGAAAGCGUGGGGAGCGAACAGG